GACGAACGCUGGCGGCGUGCUUAACACAUGCAAGUCGAGCGGUAAGGCCCUUUCGGGGUACGACGAGCGGCGAACGGGUGAGUAACACGUGGGUGACCUGCCCUUAGCUCUGGGAUAAGCCUGGGAAACGUGGGUCUAAUACCGGAUAUGACCUCAUGACGCAUGUUGUGGGGUGGAAAGCCUUGUGCGGCUAGGGAUGGACCCGCGGCCUAUCAGCUUGUUGGUGGGGUAAUGGCCACCAAGGCGACGACGGGUAGCCGGCCUGAGAGGGCGACCGGCCACACUGGGACUGAGACACGGCCCAGACUCCUACGGGAGGCAGCAGUGGGGAAUUUUGCGCAAUGGCGAAAGCCUGACGCAGCGACGCCACGUGAGGGAUGACGGCC
rnacentral:rRNA from 1 species